UGCAAGUCGAACGGAGCCAAGAGGAGCUUGCUUUUCUUGACUUAGUGGCGAACGGGUGAGUAACGCGUGAGUAACCUGCCCUGGAGUGGGGGACAACAGUUGGAAACGACUGCUAAUACCGCAUAAGCCCACGAUCCGGCAUCGGAUUGAGGGAAAAGGAUUUAUUCGCUUCAGGAUGGACUCGCGUCCAAUUAGCUAGUUGGUGAGGUAACGGCCCACCAAGGCGACGAUUGGUAGCCGGACUGAGAGGUUGAACGGCCACAUUGGGACUGAGACACGGCCCAGACUCCUACGGGAGGCAGCAGUGGGGGAUAUUGCACAAUGGGGGAAACCCUGAUGCAGCGACGCCGCGUGGAGGAAGAAGGUUUUCGGAUUGUAAACUCCUGUCGUUAGGGACGAUAAUGACGGUACCUAACAAGAAAGCACCGGCUAACUACGUGCCAGCAGCCGCGGUAAAACGUAGGGUGCAAGCGUUGUCCGGAAUUACUGGGUGUAAAGGGAGCGCAGGCGGACCGGCAAGUUGGAAGUGAAAACUAUGGGCUCAACCCAUAAAUUGCUUUCAAAACUGCUGGCCUUGAGUAGUGCAGAGGUAGGUGGAAUUCCCGGUGUAGCGGUGGAAUGCGUAGAUAUCGGGAGGAACACCAGUGGCGAAGGCGACCUACUGGGCACCAACUGACGCUGAGGCUCGAAAGCAUGGGUAACAAACAGGAUUAGAUACCCUGG
rnacentral:rRNA from 1 species